ACGCCCCAUAGUCUGGGAUACCACUUGGAAAACAGGUGCUAAUACCGGAUAAGAAAAGCAGAUCGCAUGAUCAGCUUUUAAAAGGCGGCGUAAAGCUGUCGCUAUGGGGAUGGGCCCCCGCGGUGCAUUAGCUAGUUGGUAAAGGUAAAAGGGCUUACCAAGGCGAUGAUGCAUAGCCGAGUUGAGAGACUGAUCGGCCACAUUGGGACUGAGACACGGCCCAAACUCCUACGGGAGGCAGCAGUAGGGAAUCUUCCACAAUGGACGCAAGUCUGAUGGAGCAACGCCGCGUGAGUGAAGAAGGUUUUCGGAUCGUAAAGCUCUGUUGUUGGUGAAGAAGGAUAGAGGUAGUAACUGGCCUUUAUUUGACGGUAAUCAACCAGAAAGUCACGGGCUAACUACGUGCCAGCAGCCGCGGGUAAAAU
rnacentral:rRNA from 1 species